AACGAACGCUGGCGGCAGGCUUAACACAUGCAAGUCGAACGGGUGCAGCAAUGCAUCAGUGGCAGACGGGUGAGUAACACGUGGGAACCUUCCUCGGGGUACGGAACAACUCAGGGAAACUUGAGCUAAUACCGUAUACGUCCGUGAGGAGAAAGAUUUAUCGCCCUGAGACGGGCCCGCGUCGGAUUAGCUAGUUGGUGGGGUAACGGCCUACCAAGGCGACGAUCCGUAGCUGAUCUUAGAGGAUGAUCAGCCACACUGGGACUGAGACACGGCCCAGACUCCUACGGGAGGCAGCAGUGGGGAAUCUUGGACAAUGGGCGCAAGCCUGAUCCAGCCAUGCCGCGUGAGUGAAGAAGGUCUUCGGAUUGUAAAGCUCUUUUGCCAGGGACGAUAAUGACGGUACCUGGAGAAUAAGCCCCGGCAAACUUCGUGCCAGCCGCCGCAGUAAUAC
rnacentral:rRNA from 1 species